AUGCUGGAGGUAUCAGAAGUGCGAAUGCUGACAUAAGUAACGAUAAAGCGGGUGAAAAGCCCGCUCGCCGGAAGACCAAGGGUUCCUGUCCAACGUUAAUCGGGGCAGGGUGAGUCGACCCCUAAGGCGAGGCCGAAAGGCGUAGUCGAUGGGAAACAGGUUAAUAUUCCUGUACUUGGUGUUACUGCGAAGGGGGGACGGAGAAGGCUAUGUUGGCCGGGCGACGGUUGUCCCGGUUUAAGCGUGUAGGCUG
rnacentral:rRNA from 1 species